UCCAGACUCGGAACUGCUGCCUGCCACCAUUUAAGGUCCGGUUCCCCUGGACGCUGAUACCGUGUGACAGAGAUUGGCGAGGUCCCGGCAGCGAUGUGACCACACUGACACCCGAGAACCCAGUAAACGGGUGCUAUUGGACACUGAUGAAUCGGCGCUCAGAGGAAUCGAACACUGGCCUAAUCAGUGCAUGGAUCCCCCUGCAGCAACAUUUUUCAGUUUUGUCUUGCCUUAUCAGGAUAUCCUUUAAGACAGAUAAAAGGGGCUUUCUCUGGUGGAUUCCUCAAAGAAGCAGAGAGGAAGAUCCACUGAGGAGGAGGAGAAGAUCGCUCCUGUCCCUUCAGGCUACGGGGGCAUGAAGAAUGGGGAGAUGGAGAUAUGAAGGGAUGUGUAGUUUGGCUGGAAGAUGAUUAUAUCAGGGCAGCAGAGGUUGAGGAAGAGCUUUGACUAAUUAUAGUCAUCUAUUAUAGACACAAUUAAAAUCUGGCUAAUUUACUGCAGCUCGACACUCACACACCCAGCUGAUUUAUACUGGAACUCAAUGACACCCAGAGGACAAUGUCACACAGACACACAAAAUUCAAACAUGCAUGUACUAAAUGUUCCUUCUGCUUGUUUCCUGUGCUAACAACAUUAAACACAUUGCACAUAAUAUAAUCUUAUAAAGACAUAUCUGUGCAAGAAGUAAAAACUAAAAAACAAAAACUGUUGUGUUACCAACUUAAACUACAUUUUGACUUGAGUGAUUUUCACUUAAUAUUCCAUAUCUCCUCAAGAAUAAUGUUAGAUCUUUUGAAUUGGGGUUCGGUGGAGAUGUUAUGAAAUAUAUAUUUCUUGUGUGUUGUAGAUCCUGUUUGAAGAAAUAAAAUUCAAUUCUGACUGGACUGACAAGUUAAGUGCAAGUGAUGCCAACUUAAAACUGUUCAUGAAAAAAAAAACAGUUUGGUAGUGCUUUUUGACUUUACUUCACUAUCAGUUACUCAUUACACAGUUAUUCAUAAAGAAAUUGUAUGUUGUGUCCGCUGUAAGUCCUACAGCUAGCUGCUGCUGCUCCUGUUCACACUUG